CAAACAAAGUGGAUUAGCACUUAAAAUCAUAAAACAAAAGAUUCACAACUCAAGUAAACUGCAAUGAUUUAAUAGUGAUUUUUUUCUUAAAUCGCCCAUUUCACCCAGACGGUUCCUCAGAACAUCAAUUUUGUGGCCCUUUUUUGUGGUCAAUAUGAAACAUUGUUUGUAACCUGUUUUACUUCUGUAAUGUGACAUAUUUAAGAGUGAAAUAGGAUGCGAAAAAAUUAGGGUGGGACUUGAUUGGAUCAUCAAAAGUUCUCUCUCUUUGACAGGAUGCUGAAAGGGAUGUGAUGAAAAAUAAGAGUGUUUUGUGAAGUCAACCAAAAGUAGUCCAAAAGCAAUCAGAUUUGAUUAACUUAGAAAUGUAACACAAUAGGUUACGUUACUGACUCCAAUAUUAGCCAUGCAAUUUGUAAUCAAUACCAGAUUACAAUUCAGAAGUAAUCUAUCUAGCACUGGUUAUUGACAUAUUGAUGAAAGAUUACAAAGAAUAUAUUUUAGUUAAUCAAGUACUAUUACUUAUUAGACCAGUAAUGUGUAUUAAGAAAAUAAAUAGGGCCAAUUUUGAUUUCAUGUUGACUUGAUGAAAAAUGAAUUAAACCUCUUUGAUUUUCUCCUUGCAGAGCUUGUACUGUUUCUUCUGGUUAUCAAGGAAGUUGGUGGAUUAGCCCUUGUGUUAAAAGAAUACAAUUCCCUGAAUAAGCAUCCUGCUCCUUUUGCUCAACACGGAGAGAACACAUGAGGAGAACUUUGAUGUUAAAGAGGACACAGCCUUUGAAACCCAAAAGCUCCAAUGGGUCUCAGCAGAAAUAAAAGGGAAAGAUCACCCACUUCUUUGUCCGUUUGGAUGGCGUGUUUCUUGGCCAGUUUCUCCAGCUCAAUGAAGGCAUUGUUGGCAUGGGUUUCCAGUUCUUUCUGGAGCUUCAGUCGGUGCUCAUCC